rfam:Trichobilharzia regenti genome assembly, scaffold: TRE_scaffold0001464
AUCCAGAUGACGAGCCCUAAAUAGGACGAAAUGCGCAUCCUGGAU